UACGUAGGGUGCAAGCGUUGUCCGGAAUUAUUGGCGUAAAGGGCUCGUAGGCGGUUUGUCGCGUCGGGAGUGAAAACUCAGGGCUUAACCCUGAGCCUGCUUCCGAUACGGGCAGACUAGAGGUAUGCAGGGGAGAAUGGAAUUCCUGGUGUAGUGGUGAAAUGCGUAGAUAUCGGGAGGAACACCAGUGGCGAAGGCGACUUCCUGGCCUGUUCUUGACGCUGAGGCGCGAAAGCUAGGGUAGCAAACGGGG
rnacentral:rRNA from 1 species